rnacentral:rRNA from 1 species
CCUACGGGUGGCAGCAGUGGGGAAUCUUGCACAAUGGGCGAAAGCCUGAUGCAGCGACGCCGCGUGCGGGAUGAAGGCCUUCGGGUUGUAAACCGCUUUCAGCAGGGACGAGGCGAAAGUGACGGUACCUGCAGAAGAAGCCCCGGCUAACUACGUGCCAGCAGCCGCGGUAAUACGUAGGGGGCAAGCGUUAUCCGGAUUCAUUGGGCGUAAAGCGCUCGUAGGCGGUCUGUUAGGUCGGGAGUUAAAUCCGGGGGCUCAACCCCCGUUCGCUCCCGAUACCGGCAGACUUGAGUUUGGUAGGGGAAGGUGGAAUUCCUAGUGUAGCGGUGGAAUGCGCAGAUAUUAGGAAGAACACCAGUGGCGAAGGCGGCCUUCUGGGCCAUAACUGACGCUGAGGAGCGAAAGCUAGGGGAGCAAACAGGAUUAGAUACCCCAGUAGUC